rnacentral:rRNA from 1 species
CCUACGGGUGGCAGCAGUGGGGAAUGUUGGACAAUGGGCGCAAGCCUGAUCCAGCUAUUCCGCGUGUGGGAAGACGGCCUUCGGGUUGUAAACCACUUUUGGAGAGAACGAAAAGUCUAUUGAUAAUACCGAUAGACGAGGACGGUACGCUAAGAAGAAGCACCGGCUAACUACGUGCCAGCAGCCGCGGUAAUACGGAGGGUGCGAGCGUUAAUCGGAAUUAAUGGGCGUAAAGGGUGUGCAGGCGGUGUUGCAAGAGUGAUGUGAAAGCCCCGGGCGUCCCCUGGGAAAGACAUCCAUGACUGCAAGACUAGAGUGCGUCAGAGGGGGGUGGAAUUCCAAGUGUAGCCGUGAAAUGCGUAGAUAUUUGGAAGAACCCCGAUGGCGAAGGCAGCCCCCUGGGACGCAACUGACGCUCAUCCACGAAAGCGUGGGGAGCAAACAGGAUUAGAUACCCGGGUAGUC